GGUUUGAUCUUGGCUCAGAUUGAACGCUGGCGGCAGGCCUAACACAUGCCAAGUCGGGCGGUAGAGAGAAGCUUGCUUCUCUUGAGAGCGGCGGGACGGGUGAGUAAUGCCUAGGAAUCUGCCUGGUAGUGGGGGGAUAACGCUCGGAAACGGACGCUAAUACCGCAUACGUCCUACGGGAGAAAGCAGGGGACCUUCGGGCCUUGCGCUAUCAGAUGAGCCUAGGUCGGAUUAGCUAGUUGGCGAGGUAAUGGCUCACCAAGGCGACGAUCCGUAACUGGUCUGAGAGGAUGAUCAGUCACACUGGAACUGAGACACGGUCCAGACUCCUACGGGAGGCAGCAGUGGGGAAUAUUGGACAAUGGGCGAAGGCCUGAUCCAGCCAUGCCGCGUGUGUGAAGAAGGUCUUCGGGAUUGUAAAGCACUUUAAGUUGGGAGGAAGGGCAGUAAAUUAAUACUUUGCUGUUUUGACGUUACCGACAGAAUAAGCACCGGACUAACUCUGUGCCAGCAGCCG
rnacentral:rRNA from 1 species